UGUCCUUUUUUCAAAGUCAGUCUUUAUUUCAAAAUCCCGUUUUUCCCAAUGGCCUAUUUAUUUCAUAAUGCAACUUUUCAGCAGAAUGACUUUGUCUGUCAAUCAGUGUGAGUGGGCUGGACCUUUGCGCCUAUUGGCUGAUCGUUUACUGUCGACUAGUUUUCCUGGAUACCUGCUCUGCGGACGGCUGCUACAGGUAGCAAAAACGUGCUAGGUCAAAAGUCACGGAGGAUGGCGGACUGGUGUGAACAAUUCUGCUCAUUUUAGCAGAUCAGAUAGAGAGGGAUCAUUUACCUGUAGAUACUGUUUUGAGUCGUUUAGAUGAUGUUUCUGAAAUGCUUGGGAUGAUAAUUGCUCUUCAAGAUGUUAGCAUCGAUGACAACAUUGUCGAAAGUUUAAGAUCAAUUCAGCACUGUGUUUGUUUGGAAUACGCCGAGGAAGAACAGUCUUAAAAUAUUGGUCGUCCACGUCUUGAAAUCCUGGUGCAGCACUCAGGACUUUAGUGCUGUCCGGGAUAACCAUCGGGGUAAUUGCCGAUAUGUUUUCUGUGUGUCCGAGCACAAUUAGGAGGAGAAUGACGGAGGAAGGUCUAAGAAAAUCUGAUAGGUAUUCUUCUAUUGGAGAUGAGGACUUGGAUGCAAAAGUGCUGGACAUUCAGCGUCAUCACCCAAAUGCCGGCUGCAGAAUGAUGAUGGGACAUCUACGAUCCAGAGGCAUACACAUUCAAAGAUUUCGACUGAUGGAUUCAAUGAGACGAGUCAAUCCAGAAGGGGUCGUGAUGCGAUGGUUGUCUAUUCAGACUGCAAGGCGUCAUCAGUACAGUGUACCAGCACCAAAUCACCUUUGGUAUAUCGAUGGAAAUCAUAAACUAAUUCGGUCAGUACUUGCAUCACCUUUUCCCUAUUCCAUUGAAGUAACAGGAUGCAUGUAUAAAAUUGUAAAAUGGAGCCUUGAGUUUGUAAAUGUCAUCUUAAAUGCUGUCAUAUAAGGCCAUUUACAGGAUUAGCUAUGGUCAUGUCUGAGGCUUUACAUUAUGCAUGUGAUUCCUUGCACUACAGAUCUUUCUGUAAAGUGUUUAAGUUUCCCUUCUAUUAUUUCUUUUACAUUCCUGUUAUAACAUGUUGUCAUUUUAUAUGGAACUAAAAUAUUGGUCUUGCUUUUUCCUUUAA